GCCGCAGUAGCUCAGGGGUAGAGCGCAUCAUUGGUAAUGAUGAGGUCGGGAGUUCGAAUCUCCCCUGUGGCACCA
rnacentral:tRNA from 1 species